rnacentral:tRNA from 1 species
GUCGUUGUAGUAUAGUGGUGAGUAUCCCCGCCUGUCACGCGGGAGACCCGGGUUUGAUCCCCGACAACGGCG